UACGUAGGGGGCAAGCGUUUGUCCGGAAUCAUUGGGCGUAAAGAGCGUGUAGGCGGCUCGAUAAGUCCGCUGUGAAAGUCCAGGGCUCAACCCUGGAAGGCCGGUGGAAACUGUCGGGCUAGAGUCCGGAAGAGGCGAGUGGAAUUCCCGGUGAUAGCGGUGAAAUGACGCCAGAUAUCGGGGAAGAACACCCGUGGCGAAGGCGGUUCUCUGGGACGGUACUGACGCUGAGACGCGAAAGCGUGGGGAGCGAACAGG
rnacentral:rRNA from 1 species